UGUUGGUUAAAUUUAUGUGAACAGAGAGGUGGAGGUAGAUGAGGAAGGCAGCAUUCUCAAGGCUGGCUGUUGGGUACCCCAAUAAUCAGAUUGUUCUUGGAUCUUAAAUAUUCUUUUAAAAUAGGCCUCUUUUUCAAAGUGAAAUUUCAACACUCUAGGACUUGAUCUGACUGAAUAAUGGGGGGAAAAGAAUCUGGCCAUUCCCUUGAUCAAGUGUGGAUACAGAGUUGUGGAUUGACCCAUCUCUUCCAGGAACAAUGGUAGAGUUCAUCCUGGCACAUGGUUCCAGAAAUAGAGAAAAGGAAAAGGUACCCAUGACAGCAAGGUCGUUGGUGAAUGGAUUUAAAUGCCAAGCAGAAGAAUGUUUUUUUAUCUUAAAGGUUCCCAGGUAGCAUAUUUCUCAUCUGUUUCAGUCCUUUACACAGGUCAAGAAAGCCUGAAGAAACAUCUAAGCUCCAUUUCUUUCUUAAACACUGAAAAACCAUUUGGAAGCAUCUGAUGAGAGAAUUCAAAUUACUCAGAGUGCUCCCCACCACCUCUUAAGUAGAAUGGGCGAAUAAAGCAUUCUCUGACAUUAAUUUCCACUCCAGGAGAGUGAAAAAAAGUUGAAGGAUCAUUUAGCCUUCAGCUGAAGAUCUCCAAUGAGGAAGGAUUCACCCAAGUCAACUGUUAUAGCUGAAGGCUAGAUGACCAUUUGUCAAGUGUGUUAUAGUGGGAAUUCCUUUUGGGUAUGGGGUGGACUAGUUGGUUACUAAGAUAUCUUCUACAUCUAAAAUUCUACAGUAAUAAGCACUAAGCUGGAAACACCCAAUUGCUACAAUAUUUCAGUUAGUGACAGUGGAUAGGAUGCUGAGUCUGAAGUUAGGAGUCAUCUGCUCUAAAUCACUAGAUUAGAGAAAUGCAAAUUAAAACAACUCUGGGGUACCACCCUCACCUAUCAGAUUGGCUAAUAUGACAAAAAAGGAGAAAAAAAUCAAUGUUGAAGAAG